rnacentral:lncRNA from 1 species
UAUAUAUAUGUAAAUACACGUGUGUGUGUGCGCGUGCACGUAUAAAACAUUUCUAAGCUAUGUAGGUAGUGCUGUUAUCCAUAUUUUACAGGUAGAUUCAGAAACCAUAGCUCGAUAUUGGUUCACAGUGAUCACUCAGAUGGGUGGGUAAUGUAUAGCUGUGGGCCUCUCUGCCUCAAUAUACUCAAUUCUCAUGUUCAAAACAUUAGAACUGUUAAUUGUUGCUCAUGCAUAAAUACUUCUCGAACUUCCUUUAAAACAUAUCCUGUAAUUAAAGCUGAUCUUGAGUGUCCAUGUGCAGUAUGAAAUGUUCCCUAAAGUGCCAGCACAUAUUAUUGCUUGGGCUUAAAGAUGAGAAGCACAAAAGGGAAUCUAAAAUACUAAACCAAGAAGUUACAAUUUAAAUUUCCCCUUGGAAGAUAUAAGAAAAGGUUUAAACACUUUUCUGCAUAUGAAAUUUUUCCAUUUCAAAUAAGAGUGGUGAUGUACAGUCACGGUGACUCCGAAUGGUUUCACAUGUAUAUUUGGACAGUCAACUUUUUAGGUAAUGGUCAUAAGUGACUCCCUUACUUCUCCCAUUCAUACUGAGUUUGGGUGCCUCCAGUUGUAUCCACUUCAUACUCUGACCAGUUAAACAUUCUGAGCAUGCAGAGCAGGGGCUGUGAUCUAGUUCUCUGCCUAGAUAACUCAGAAAGGCAAUAGUACCUAGAUUUCCUUCAAGAAUUGUUCUGAGUAGUAGAACUGUGUUCUUCGCAAAAAAAAAAAACAACUUUUGAUUAGAGGCUGUGCAAACUGGAGAAUCAGUCUUUGUAACUCUGUAAUGUUUUUGGUCUUCUGCUGGAAAGAAAAAAAAUGCUUUGAAGAAUGAAAAAAAAAAAAUUAGGACAGUAAGAAGUAGCCUUUUUCUGUCUUCUCUACA